CUCUAACCCUCUAUGUGUUUGUGUUUUUGUUUGGUAACUGUUGCACAAUUCGAAGAAGUAAAAAAGAGCACAAAAAAUGGUGGUAAGGAUUUGAUUAUCGAGGUUUGGGUACAAGAACAAGCCAUUCUAUCAAGUCAUGGCUACCGAUAGCAGAUCCCCAAGAGAUGGCAAGCACCUCGAAGUUCUAGGUUAUUACAAUCUCUUACUAGGAAAGGGUAAAUAUUGUCUCAUCUCAUCAUAUUUUUCAGUCCUUAUAAAGAGUGUGUCAGCUCUUUUACACUUACUACAUCUACUCAUCUUAAUAUUUUCCCGUUUCAAAUUCAAAAUUGUUUCCUUUCCCCCUCAUUUUCUUCUUUUCUUCACCAAACCUAACAAGGGAGGGGGGAGGAAAUUUUCUGCAUGAGUAAUCUUUUUUGCAUAGAUGGGAUAGGAUUUCGCAUAUAACUUUCUCCCUCUCUUCUACAUCGCUGGAAAAGAGGAGAAUUAGUGGCUGUAAGAAGCUCCCUCUUUCAAUCCAAGGAUGCGAGGAGGCCAAGAAUUUUAAGAUCAACAGAGAGAUCCGUUUCCUUCUUACACAUCAGGUAUGAAUCUCCAUAGGGUAAGGUCCUGUUUUUCUCAUUAGAAUCACUACAUCAUGUACAUAUCUUCAUCUCUGUAUUGGCUAUUGUACAUGCCAUGUUUUGUGUCACCACACUGCUGCUUGGAGGCGCAAUUACGUAUCCAUAAUUUGGGCAAAUAUGAUAUUGUAUUGCAAUAAUUCAUUUUCAAGGACCUUAUAACAAUUCUGCUAAAUGUUGUUUUAUCUUUCAUACUUCCUUUAUUGUGUUCCACAGCUGGGAUGCAUAUUGGUUAGUCUUUAAUUAUCUACCUGAGUUCAUAUCUAGCAGAAUGUGGAUGUCAUAAUUUUUUUAAUCCUCUUUUUAAGUAUAAGUUUGAGGCUAUCAUCUUCACUAGACUGCUAAAGGUAUUGAGUAUGGUAUUGG